GGAUUGCCCUAGUAACGGCGAGUGAAGCGGCAACAGCUCAAAUUUGAAAUCUGGCCUUCUUGGUCCGAGUUGUAAUUUGUAGAGGAUGCUUUUGGCGCGGUGCCUUCCGAGUUCCCUGGAACGGGACGCCUUAGAGGGUGAGAGCCCCGUACGGUUGGACACCAAGCCUCUGUAAAGCUCCUUCGACGAGUCGAGUAGUUUGGGAAUGCUGCUCUAAAUGGGAGGUAAAUUUCUUCUAAAGCUAAAUACCGGCCAGAGACCGAUAGCGCACAAGUAGAGUGAUCGAAAGAUGAAAAGCACUUUGAAAAGAGGGUUAAAUAGCACGUGAAAUUGUUGAAAGGGAAGCGUUUACGACCAGACCUUUUCCUGGCGGAUCAUCCGGUGUUCUCACCGGUGCACUUCGCCUGGUUUAGGCCAGCAUCGGUUUCUGUAGGGGGAUAAAAGCUUGGGGAAAGUAGCUCUCUUCGGAGAGUGUUAUAGCCCUUUGCAUAAUACUUCUACAGGGACCGAGGACCGCGCUUUGCAAGGAUGCUGGCAUAAUGGUCGUCAACGACCCGUCUUGAAACACGGACCAAGGAGUCGAACAUUUGUGCGAGUGUUUGGGUGUUAAACCCUCACGCGUAAUGAAAGUGAACGGAGGUGAGAGCCCUUACGGGUGCAUCAUCGACCGAUCCUGAUGUCUUCGGAUGGAUUUGAGUAAGAGCAUAACUGUUCGGACCCGAAAGAUGGUGAACUAUGCGUGGAUAGGGUGAAGCCAGAGGAAACUCUGGUGGAGGCUCGCAGCGGUUCUGACGUGCAAAUCGAUCGUCAAAUCUGCGCAUGGGGGCGAAAGACUAAUCGAACCAUUGAAACCAGCGGUAAAUUUGAUUUACUAGGUGGUUAAGAGGCCUUCGUGACGAAGGCCUAGGCCGACCUACCCGGUAAAGUCUUACCCUGUAAGACCUACCCUGUAGGAAGGCCGACACCGCUAAAUUGCGGGGACAUCCAGUAAAGGCUUCAGGCUACCGCCCUGCGCUGAAAAGCGUAUGGGCACCAAGAAUAGCGAUCUUGGGUAUGGUAAUAACGCCUGAAGUAUCGGACGACCUGCAGCCAACCCCGUAUUUCAGGGGAGAGUUCACUGACUAGACAGCGGUGGGUUGCUUCGCAUCACCUGCGAGGCGGCCUAAGACAUAGUCGAUCCGGGCCCUGAAAAGGAGCCCUAAACUCUGAGGGAACCUACCCGGUAAGAACUUACCCGGUAGUAGGUUACCCUGUAGAGGAAAGCGGAGCUAGUAGCUGGUUACCGCCGAAGUUUCCCUCAGGAUAGCAGUGUUGUCUUCAGUUUUAUGAGGUAAAGCGAAUGAUUAGGGACUCGGGGGCGCUUUUUAGCCUUCAUCCAUUCUCAAACUUUAAAUAUGUAAGAAGCCCUUGUUACUUAAUUGAACGUGGGCAUUCGAAUGUACCAACACUAGUGGGCCAUUUUUGGUAAGCAGAACUGGCGAUGCGGGAUGAACCGAACGCGGGGUUAAGGUGCCAGAGUGGACGCUCAUCAGACACCACAAAAGGUGUUAGUACAUCCAGACAGCAGGACGGUGGCCAUGGAAGUCGGAAUCCGCUAAGGACUGUGUAACAACUCACCUGCCGAAUGUACUAGCCCUGAAAAUGGAUGGCGCUCAAGCGUCUCACCCAUACCUCGCCCUUAGGGUAGAAACGAUGCCCUAAGGAGUAGGCGGCCGUGGGGGUCAGUGACGAAGCCUAG
rnacentral:rRNA from 1 species